AGGAUGAACGCUGGCGGCGUGCCUAACACAUGCAAGUCGAACGUCCUGUCUCGCAAGAGGCAGGGAGUGGCGGACGGGUGAGUACCACGUGGGUCAUCUACCGUGAGGUGAGGAAUACCGGCGAGAAAUCGCCGACAAGACCGCAUAGGCUCGAUGCAAGUCGAGCAAAGCUCUUUCGAGAGAGGGAGCGCCACACGAGGAGCCUGCGCCCGAUUAGCUAGCUGGUGGAGUAACGGUUCACCAGGGCGACGAUCGGUAGCUGGUCUGAGAGGACGAUCAGCCACACUGGGAUUGAGAACGGCCCAGACUCCUACGGGGGGCAGCAGUGAGGAAUUUUCGUCAAUGGGGGCAACCCUGAACGAGCAACGCCGCGUGCAGGAAGAAGGUUUCGGAUCGUAAACUGCUUUUCUCGGGGAAGAGAAUGGACGGUACCCGAGGAAUCAGCCCCGGCUAACUACGCGCCAGCAGCCGCGGU
rnacentral:rRNA from 1 species